AAGUCAAUAUACGUAGAAUACUCUGCAAAAUUAUGCGGGUGAGGGGAUGUCAAACAAUGGGUCAGGAAAUGCGUUGUUUUUCUGCAAAACAAAAGCUGAUUGCCAUUACAUAAGUCACUUUAGCAUCAUGAGACUGCUGCUUGAUAAAUUCAGAAAUAAACCAAAAAACAAGACAUGCAAAAAUAAAAAACAAUUUAAUGAUGCUCUCUCCACACUGGGAUAAAUAAAAACAAACACAUCACAUCUAAUGUGGACAUAUCAGACGCCUUCUGAAACACUAAAGGAAAAAUUCAGUUUUGAGCUAUGGCACUUGCCACAUAGAUGUGGGGGGCCUUGCACUAAUAGUGAUAGUUACCACUGCAUUUAGAAAUUGAAAGCAUUCAUGCAGACAAGGAUGAUUCUUUAUAUUUUUGGCUACCACUUCAAAUGCCUCCACCAAGUGUUACAAUGCUGCACGCAGCCAUACUAAGGAUCUCGCAGCAACACCUGCAGGUAAAAAGCAGAAGCAGUCAAAGUGAUGGUGUGUACUGGACACUAUGUUUGAAAACUUUUAGGCAAGAAGAGUGCAAGAAGCAGACAUAACAACUGCAUUUAUUUCCAUAAUUCCCCAUUUGAAUGGCCUUUUCUUUUUGCUUAGACAAUGCCUACGCCUAGCCACAGCAGCUCCCUCAUACAGACUCCGCAAGCCAAGAGGCCGUGGAGGCAAAUGCAGGCAGCCAGCACACCUCGAACAGCCACCUUGACUGCGGGUGUGUCACCCUAGUCGCCAAGGAAACAUCUGAGGGAAAGCGACAGGCAAUGUGAACAGCCACUUCUCCAUGUAAACGAUACUCUUUCUCUCGGAUGACUCCUACGCCUCGCCACGACAGCACACUUGUGCACAAAGAUGCCGCGGAGGCACGUGCAGGUCAGAGGCAAGAAGCAGUGGCACUGGUGUCGACAUUCACCCAAUUUCGUUUUCUUACACUGAGGCAGCCAGCACACCUCGAACAGCCACCUUGACUGCGGGUGUGUCAGUAGAUUCCUGUUGUACAUAUGCUCAUAAUAAACUUCAGUAAACUUGAACUUGAUAAUAAACUUGAAGGCAAAUGGGA